rnacentral:lncRNA from 1 species
UAAGGAGGCGCCGGCAACGGUGUUAAGGGCGCACAGUCCGCAGUAAUCGACUGCAUUCUAUUGUUCCUUUCUCGUUUGAUUAAAGUAGCUGAUCUGAUGCGCGGUAUUAUUAUUCUUGGCGUCUUAAGAUUAUGAGGUAGUUAGCCAUAAAGUAUCAUUCAUCCUUUUGUUGGCCUAUUGCCUACUCUGUCGUGUACCAGCAGUAUUAUUUUGGAGCCGAGACCUUGAUAUUUCAGACUUGGUUGGGUGAAUUGGUCGUGUGUGUGCUGUUGCAUUUUCCAUGACGAAAUCAUCAUAUAGCAUUAUUAUUUAAUCUUUGUGCUGCUCAGCAACUUGAGGCCUUCCUAUUUGUAUCAGAUCUGUCAGUCAGGAUCGUUGUAUGACUGGAACGUGUUAAUGGAAUUUACUCUUGUUAAUGGCUCGAUGGCAUCUGGGCACCAAUAGUAAAGCGAAGACUUUGUGGAAA